rnacentral:pre_miRNA from 1 species
UGUUAAAAAUAUAAUCUAAUUUUACUGUUAAAAUUAGUGUGAUUAAUAAAAUAAUCAGACAGUGAUAUAUAGCGCACUACGUGUACCUUAUACUGAUGUAUAAUAUCCAAAUUUUAAUAAUAAAAAUAGAUGAAAUGUUUAACA